rnacentral:rRNA from 1 species
AACGCUAGCUACAGGCUUAACACAUGCAAGUAGAGGGGCAGCAUGAAUAAAGUUUCGGCUUUAUUUGAUGGCGACCUGCGAAUGGGUGAGUAACACGUAUCCAACCUGCCUGUUACUGGAGGAUAGCCUCCCGAAAGGGAAAUUAACACUCCAUAUUAUAUAGAUGAGGCAUCUUGUUUAUAUGAAAGUUUCACGGUAACGGAUGGGGAUGCGUCCCAUUAGAUAGUAGGCGGGGUAACGGCCCACCUAGUCGACGAUGGGUAGGGGUUCUGAGAGGAAGGUCCCCCACAUUGGAACUGAGGCACGGUCCAAACUCCUACGGGAGGCAGCAGUGAGGAAUAUUGGUCAAUGGGCGAGAGCCUGAACCAGCCAAGUAGCGUGCAGGAUGACGGCCCUAUGGGUUGUAAACUGCUUUUAUACAGGAAUAAAGUUAGCCACGUGUGGCUAUUUGUAGGUACUGUAUGAAUAAGGACCGGCUAAUUCCGUGCCAGCAGCCGCGGUAAUACGGAGGAUGCGAGCGUUAUCCGGAUUUAUUGGGUUUAAAGGGAGCGUAGGCCGUCUGUUAAGCGUGUUGUGAAAUGUAGAUGCUCAACAUCUGAAUUGCAGCGCGAACUGGCAGACUUGAGUGUGCGCAACGUAGGCGGAAUUCGUGGUGUAGCGGUGAAAUGCUUAGAUAUCACGAAGAACUCCGAUUG